CUGAUGUCAAGAAAUUUCUGUAACCUUCCUGUUCAGCACACCCAGUUCUGUCACCAUCUGUACCGCCUCACUCGGAGCCUAUCACCGGGAAAGUGCUGGUGUCAGCGUGCUAGGAAGGGAAGCAUGACGCAGGGUGCAGCACCAGCCCUCACCUCACACCCCUUCUCUAACAAAACUGCAUUGCCUGAGAGUUCUCUGGGUUCUGCAGGGAAGGCUGAGAGGGCUGCAGUGGUCCUUAAUCUUAGGGAAGCCAGAGUCCAUGUUGAAAAUCUGAUGAAAGCACUAUUCUUGCCCAAAAGGAAACUGCAUCCCACCCUGUCUCGGCGUGCAGUUUAGCUGUUCAUAGUUCCCAAAGCCCAGACAUCAUCAGUUGAGAACCUGUGAUGGAAGCCAGGAAGUGCACACGUCUGAAAACCACUCAGGAUGCUGGAGGAGAAUUGCCUAGUGAUCAAGUCCAUGGCUAAGCAGUUACGUUCCAAGUUAGCCUAGGUUACCCCGCCCUGUUAAAAAUAAUAAAAGUUGGGGCUGGGGAUUUAGCUCAGUGGUAGAGCGCUUACCUAGGAAGUGCAAGGCCCUGGGUUCGGUCCCCAGCUCCGAAAAAAAGAAC
rnacentral:lncRNA from 1 species